UCGGUUCCUAGAAAAGCCAUGUCAUUAACGGGCCCGUACCAAAACCGACACAGGUAGGUGGGGUGAAGAACCUCAGGCGCUCGAGAGAACGGUUGUGAAGGAACUCGGCAAAAUGACCCCGUACGUUCGCAAGAAGGGGGCCCUACCCGUAAGGGAGGGCGCAGAGAAAAGGCCCUAGCGACUGUUUACCAAAAACACAGCUCUGUGCAAACUCGCAAGAGGAAGUAUACAGAGUGACACUUG
rnacentral:rRNA from 1 species